GUUUUAUCCUGAGGACGUCUGUCUUGCUUCUUUUUUUUUCUUUCUACUUUUUACUUGAAUGUGGCGAGGCAUAGGGCUGCUCUAAUUGAUUAAACGUUGAUUCAUUUUUAUUUUUUUUGUGUGUGUGUGUGUGUGUGUGUGUGUGCUGCUGACGCGUGUGGCUGUGGAGGAGGCGCAGCGCUAAACCUCCGGAGCCGUGUUUAAUAUCGCUGGGAGAGAGCGAGGAGCUUAGCACGAAAGCCCCGGCUUCCCGCCAGACGCGAGCACACACACACACACAGACACACACACACUCCUCCGCAGUAAAACGAGACAACCUCCCCCCCACCGCCACCUCCCCUCCGCUGCGCUCCUUCCUCUAUUCUCUUUUCUCGCGCUCCGUCCUCUAAUCUCCCUCUCUAGAAUGCUUCCCCGCGCUCCCCUGCAAUCAAUGCAUCACUCAGACGUUUAACCCCUUCCGGCGCUGCCUGCGUUGGAUGCGUGUCACAUGUGUAGGUGAUGCAUGAGCGCAUCUGCCAGACUGGAGUUUUCCGGCGAAAAGGAAAGUUGGUGCGUGCUCGGAAAAGUGAAACGUGUGGGCGGGGUGAGGAUUCAGUGAGACUGAAGGCGCUGCCGCUGCCGCCGCCGCUGAUGAUGAUCUCACAGUUAAUUAAUCUAACACUGAGCCACUCAGAUUCUAUUAACAAAGCUGAGAAGAAAAAAGGGGAGAAACGUGUGUGUG